rnacentral:lncRNA from 1 species
CAGUUUUGAAAAUAAAGAAGAAAAAUAAUACUUCAUUCUAGGACAUCAGUUCUGAUUACACACCUAGAGGAAUAAAUUUGGUGUGAAAUUAAUAUAAAGAUUGACAAAAAAAAUCAAUAGAACAAAAUAAAGAAUCCAGAAAUAGAUCUGUACAUACACAUUUGACAAGGAUUCAAAAGCAAUUCAAUGGAGGAAGAAAAGUCUUCAACAACCGUAUUGAAAAAUAAAAUAUGCAUAUUCAAAAAUUAUUCAUCAAUCCCUAUCUAGUAGCAUAAAAAUUAAAUCAACAUGUAUCAUGCACCUAAAUGCAAUCAAUAACUAUAAAAUUUCUAAAAGUAAAGAUAGUAUAAAUCCUUUGUAACCUUAGGCUAUGGAAAAACUUUUUUGUAGAUACACUCUCAAAAGCAGAAAUCAUAAAAUAACAGUUGAUAAUUAAGACUUCAUCAUAAGUAAAAUCUUCUACCCUUCAAAAGACAUUGUAAAUUUUUUUUAUUGCAUUUUAGGUUUUGGGAUACAUGUGAAGAACGUGUAAGAUAGUUGCAUAGGUACACAUGUGGCAGUGUGAUUUGCUGCCUUCCUCCCCUUCACCUAUAUCUGGCAUUUCUCCCCAUGCUAUCUCUCUCCAACUCCCCACCCCCCGCUGUCCCUCCUCUAUUUCCCCCAGCAGACCCUAGUGUGUAGUGCUCCCCUCCCUGUGUUCAUGUGUUCUCAUUGUUCAACACCCACCUAUGAGUAAGAAUAUGCGGUGUUUGAUUUUCUGUUCUUGUGUCAGUUUUCUGAGAAUGACGGUUUCCAGAUUCAUCCAUGUUCCUACAAAGGACACAAACUCAUCAUUUUUAAUGGCUGCAUAGUAUUCCAUGGUGUAUAUGUGCCACAUUUUCCCUGUCCAGUCUAUCAUCGAUGGGCAUUUGGGUUAGUUCCAGGUCUUUGCUAUUGUAAACAGUGCUACAAUGAACAAUCGUGUGCAUGUGUCCUUAUAGUAGAACAAUUUAUAAUCCUUUGGAUAUAUACCCAGUAAUAGGAUUGCUUGGUCUAAUAGAAUUUCUAUUUCUAGGUCCUCGAGGAAUCACCACACUAUCUUCCACAAUGGUUGAACUAAUUUACAGUCCUAACAGUGUAAAACUGUUCCUAUCUCUCCAUGCUUAUUUCCUCAAUUUUUUCCUUUCAAUAUUUAACAUUGUAUUUCCUUCUCUGUUCUUCAUAAAUGUGUUUUUAAACCCCAGAGAAACCUCUUCUUUCACUUUGCACACACAGAAUAUUUCUCUACCUAAUCUAUCCACUGACUGCACAGAAAAGCCCAGAAUUACAGCAGGACUAGGCUGA